rnacentral:rRNA from 1 species
CACAAAAAUGCACAUGCUGUGAGCUCGAUGAGUAGGGCGGGACACGUGGUAUCCUGUCUGAAUAUGGGGGGACCAUCCUCCAAGGCUAAAUACUCCUGACUGACCGAUAGUGAACCAGUACCGUGAGGGAAAGGCGAAAAGAACCCCGGCGAGGGGAGUGAAAAAGAACCUGAAACCGUGUACGUACAAGCAGUGGGAGCACGCUUAGGCGUGUGACUGCGUACCUUUUGUAUAAUGGGUCAGCGACUUAUAUUCUGUAGCAAGGUUAACCGAAUAGGGGAGCCGAAGGGAAACCGAGUCUUAACUGGGCGUUAAGUUGCAGGGUAUAGACCCGAAACCCGGUGAUCUAGCCAUGGGCAGGUUGAAGGUUGGGUAACACUAACUGGAGGACCGAACCGACUAAUGUUGAAAAAUUAGCGGAUGACUUGUGGCUGGGGGUGAAAGGCCAAUCAAACCGGGAGAUAGCUGGUUCUCCCCGAAAGCUAUUUAGGUAGCGCCUCGUGAAUUCAUCUCCGGGGGUAGAGCACUGUUUCGGCAAGGGGGUCAUCCCGACUUACCAACCCGAUGCAAACUGCGAAUACCGGAGAAUGUUAUCACGGGAGACACACGGCGGGUGCUAACGUCCGUCGUGAAGAGGGAAACAACCCAGACCGCCAGCUAAGGUCCCAAAGUCAUGGUUAAGUGGGAAACGAUGUGGGAAGGCCCAGACAGCCAGGAUGUUGGCUUAGAAGCAGCCAUCAUUUAAAGAAAGCGUAAUAGCUCACUGGUCGAGUCGGCCUGCGCGGAAGAUGUAACGGGGCUAAACCAUGCAC